AGUGGUUAGUACCAUAGGUUAGUACGACUACCUGUCACGCAGAAGGUUCCGGGUUCAAUCCCCGGUGGGGUCACUU